GCUAGUGUAGCUUAAAUUAAAGCAUGACACUGAAGAUGUCAAGAUGAACCCUAGAAAGUUCCACAGGCA
rnacentral:tRNA from 1 species